rnacentral:rRNA from 1 species
UACGAAGGGGGCUAGCGUUGCUCGGAAUCACUGGGAGUAAAGCGCACGUAGGCGGAUUGCUAAGUCAGGGGUGAAAUCCUGGAGCUCAACUCCAGAACUGCCUUUGAUACUGGCGAUCUCGAGUCCGGGAGAGGUGAGUGGAACUGCGAGUGUAGAGGUGAAAUUCGUAGAUAUUCGCAAGAACACCAGUGGCGAAGGCGGCUCACUGGCCCGGUACUGACGCUGAGGUGCGAAAGCGUGGGGAGCAAACAGG